ensembl:lncRNA
CACGGGAGGGAUACUCUCCCCAAUCUCUUCUUUCCUUCAUGUCAUAGCCUCGUACAAUUGAAAUCAUUGAAGUAAUAGUAUUUCUGACCAAGCGACAUCGCAGCUCUUUGGACAUAACACACUCAUGUGCUUGCCCAUUGCGAUGAAGUUCAAAGUAGUAUUUGCGCACAUGCUCAAGCUCUGCAUCUGUGUACACAACAUACUCUGGACUACAUAUCUUUAUUACUUUUUCUGGCGUUACUUCUUGUGUCUUGGGUAUGUUGUUAUCCGUGACUGGUUCAGAGGAUGAGCUUUCCUGUAUAACCACAUCAUUUGAAGAAAAAUAACAAUAUUUCAAUUAAAAUAAGUUUCUCAUUUAUGAUAACCAUGACCAACACAGGUAUCGGCACACCUUAUAUCACAUACAUAAGAUUUACACAGCAAUUGGGUUUUCUGCUUUUCAUCUUGACGACACAUUCAUUCAUUCAUUCAUUCACAAUAGGGACUAAAUAGUACCUCUGAAUGGACAGCUUCCCAAAUGUGUUUUCUCCUCAGAAAAUUCUCCGGCCCUGGCAUAAGGUCUCUUAGGUCUUCCCGUGUCAAUGAGGGUAAUAGCUCAUUGGUAAUACUUGCAGCUGUAAGAGUUUAUCAAUAUACUGUUUGUAUGCUUCGAAAACCAAAAGCACAUAAUAAGCAAACAUUAAAUGCAAUGAGGUUAAAAGAUUUACAAGGUGUACACCUACCAUCUUUAUCACCGCUUUCAACGAAAAUUGGCCGUGUUCAGACUUGACUUCUUUUUUUAGAAAAAAAAACCGCUGCCUUCAGCGCCUUUCGUGCACCUUUUGAGCACUUCAGCGCGAGCAUUCUGUAACCUUAAUAACGGUAAUCAUACAUUCUAGCAAUACAUCAUUGUCCGUUGGUCCACUACUUAUUGUUAACUAGCUACUUUGGCGAAUACAAUUUAAUUACUUGCUUUUGCUUUGGUGUUUGAGGAGGAGGAGGGUAUUCGUGGAGAGCCAAGGCAUACUGGCCUUCUCCAUCUUGGUCUAUUUUAGGGGCACCGGUAACUAAGGUAGUAGGUUACUAGGGAAGGUACACGCUGUCAGAAAGGCGCUUGAUGUCACCCAGCGCUUUUUAGUUGAGAAAAUUGAACUAAAAAAGGCUUCGAGCGCUGCGCUUUUUAAAACGUUUUUAAAAGGCGUCCGCUUUUUUCCUUUCCCAUAGGGUUGCAUGUCAAAAAAAGGCGCUGGCAGUUGAAAAAAAGGAGUCAAGUGUGAACACGGCCUUAAAGUCUCUGAUUCAUGUAUAGUAGCAUAUCGGCUAUGCCGUGGUAACGACCACCUCACUGUACAUUAUCCCUUACAUAGCUUUACGUUUUAAUUACUAUUAUUGUUAUUACAUUUCUUACUGCCACUCUAUGCCAGCCAGCCAGCUAACUAACUAUUCACUUCUAAGGAAACCAUGGAUAGACAGUCUAGCCACAAUCUUUGGCUUUAUCUAUACAACAAUCUUCUAUCAUAUCUAUUAUCAUAGACUUACCUUCCAGAAGUGACAGUGUUUCUUGGUCAAAUUGCUCCAUCUAUAAUUUAAAGAAAAGGUUCUUACUCUUUCAGAAAUAACUUCAACCAGAGGUCUUGGUCUUUUACAUACAUUUUCGUUUUCAAAAUUGCUGACAAAUUACCAAAGUAGGCCGAGGUUAAAUUAUGUUAACUUACCUUUAUCAUUUGAAGUCGAAAGGCGUUACUUCAGCUCUUAUACUGGCUUCACUUAACAUCGAUGUCAUGCAGCUCGAGCGACAUUUGAGAUGCAUUGGGAUGCGUUCGGGUGAAUUCGGUCCUGCCACCAAGUUUGAGAAACUUGUGGUUUAUGACAACACUUCUGACUUAGCAUCUUGUGAUCAGUGGUAAUCCACAAUUAUCGCAAGUGUAUUUGACUGUGUUUCUUAACUGAUUUAGGUCACUUUUAUUACAUGGUGCAAUAAAAGUGAAAAGGGGAAAAACUGACGCAAUGGACACACCAUCCAUCACGAACAUACCCAAUGUUCCGUCGCGCGCCGUUAAAAGGAGAUGGCUUUUGACCACAGGUAGCCUAGUUCGUGCUGCUAAAUUCGCGUUUACCUCAGAGAUCUUGUCAACAAACUUAGUGGUGUUUAACAAUGAGUUGGCGUUGCGUUAUAUGUUUCGUAUUUGUGGCUUUGACGUUGAGAACACUGCUUGGCCAUAUCAGUAGAAGACAUGGUCGUAGUCCUUAUUUCCAUAUAACCUGUGGGCUAGAUGGUUGUGAUGCAGAAUACAGGGUGUUCAACUCUUUUUUCUACCACCUGAAACGCAAACACUUCGACUUUUUGGACAAUGGACGGCCACCGACACAGCCACUCAAUUUUGUUUCAACUAGGUUUGGUCAAGAAAAUUACGAUACUCCUAUUUUCCGCGGCUGUGUUAGCUUUGAUCGUGUUGAGGCAGCACCAUCACAGGAUGGACUGGAUGUUGAGGCAGCACCCUCACAGGAGGAUCGAUCGGAUGGGCCGGAUAGUCCUACCCAAGUGGAUAACGAGAACAGUAGUUCUACCUGCACCAACAAUCAAGACCAAGCCUCUGAACAUACAGACAUACAUUUGGAAAUGAUACAGACAGAUCUACAGAGCACGGGGGAGGCAUCCUCUGGUGGAAGGGACCACAGCCUAAACAAGCAUGCAGCAGCAUUUGCUCUGAAGAUCCGCGAGAGAUGCUGCUUAUCUCAGGACAAUGUCAACAGUGUUAUUGCUGAUGUCCAACAGUACCAAGCCUCCCUUCUAGACCGCCUGAGAGACCAGACCAAGAAUGCUUUUGAAACCCAUGUUGAAAGGGAGGAGCUCCAAACAGCGAUCCUAGCAGUAUUUGAUGAUUUCAAAGACCCCUUUUCAGAGGUUUCAUCUACACAUCUACAGGACAGAAGCAUCAGGCAUUUCUUUAACCCAGUUGAGCCAGAAGAGGUAGUCAUAUCUCGAACUGUAUGCAGACUCAGGGGGAAAAACCAAGGAGCUCUUACCAUUAAAGCAAACUCCUUUUUCUAUGUACCCUUAUUGAAGAGCCUUGAAGACUUGUUUUCUGAUCUGCAGAUAUUUACAAUGAUAAGCUCCAUGCCCGAGAGGUGUAAAGAGGGGUUCUUAUAUGACUUAGUUGAUGGUGAUAUUUUUAGGAACCACCCACUCUUUUCCAUCAGACCCUCUGCAUUGCAGUUUAUUUUAUACACAGAUGAGAUUGAACUGUGCAACCCACUAGGAUCACAUGCAGGAAAGAACAAACUACUGAUGGUUUAUUACACCUUAGGCAAUAUAGAUCCUAAAUAUAGGUCAAAACUAUCAGCAAUUAGAUUGCUGGCCAUUGCAAAAUCCAGUGACCUGUCUAGGUAUACUGUGGAUGUGAUUUUAGAUAGAAUUAAAAAAGAUUUAGAUGUGUUAUACCAGGGUGUUAAAAUUCAAACUGCAGUUGGUGAAAGGACCAUCUAUGGUGCUGUGAUUUCACUUUGUGGGGAUACACUGGCUCAACAUGAGUUUGCAGGUUUCAAAGAGGGUGUGGGUUUUGCCCUUUGCAAAUGCCGGCAUUGUGACUGUACAGCUGAAGACAUGCAAACAAAUUUUGAUGAGAAAUAUUUCAACAAAAGAACAGUCGAGGGACAUUUGAGGCAGUGUAGUGAUAUUGAGAAGGCCAGUACAGAUUUAGUAAGGAACCAUUUAAAAACAACCUAUGGGAUCAAUAGAAGAAGUUCAUUAGUUGAUUUCCCCGGCUUCAAUCUCAUCGAGCAGACACCACAAGAUAUUAUGCACAUUAUUCUUGAAGGGAUUGCCCCGAUGGAGAUCAAAUGUGUGCUAAACCAUCUCAUUCUUAGUGGGCAGAUAGAUCUGGAUACAUUCAAUUCUGCUAUGUAUUGUUUCCCAUACUCACCUCUUGAUUUAAGAGACAGGCCAUGUCCCAUCACAGCAUCUACAUUGUCCUCAAAUGACAACAGACUAAAACAAUCAUCAGGACAAAUGCUUGUCCUUUUGAAAAUAUUGCCAUUUUUGUUAAAUAAUGUCAAAGACAGUGAGUUUGUGCAGUUCAUCAUUGAAUUGGUAGAGAUUACACAGAUUCUCCUUGCCCCAGUCAUUUCGCUUCAUACAAUUGCACAGCUCAAAGAACUGAUUGAGCAGCACUUGAAAACAUUUAAACAGCUCUUCCCAGAAAAGAACAUCAUACCAAAGCAGCAUUAUCUGCUUCAUAUGCCCUCACAAAUCGCUGCUUUGGGGCCUAUGGUAAGGCAUAUGUGCAUGCGCUUCGAAUCCAAACAUCGUUUUUUUAAACGAUGGGCUGCUAAAUUAAACUUUAAAAACAUCUGUAAAACAUUAAUUCAGCACAACCAAAGAUUUGAAUGCUCUCAAAAUGUCAGUGGAAACCAGCAUCCUAUAUUCACAAAAGACAGAGAACUUGGCCCGGUGUCAGAGGCUUCCAACAUAGAGUACAUCCGCUCAAAACUGAGGGAUUCUUUUGGGAUAGAUGUACAGACUGCUGUGUCAUUAAAAUGGCUCACUCUAAACAGCAAUAAGUAUAUGUCUCAUAAAUCACUCAUCAUUUCUGGCUUUGAUGGCCAAAUACCAAGAUUUAGCCUCAUUAGAGACAUAUGGAAAAUUAAGAAGAAAUUCUUUUUUGAAAUUCAGCCAUAUGAAACAGUGGCCUUCAGGAAGGAUUUGCGCUGUUAUGAGGUGGUAAUACCUAAUCUUGCACAGGCAAAUGAGGUCAUUGAUGAAGACAUGGUUGAUUUCACAGCAUACCAUAUAGUUCCAUUUCAAGGUCACAAAUAUGUACCCCUCAAAUACAACAUAAAUGAUGUUUUGUUGUGCCGUCAGACUGUGAAUAUUCAGAGAUAAUCACAGAUUUACCGGGUUAUUUUGUGUGAAUUAUUUUCACAACAGGUUUUGUAUAAAAUUACAUGUGGUUAUUAAAAAAAUGUAAUCAUAUUGUUGACUGUUGUGUUGCUUUAAAUGCAUGUUUGUAUCUCAUGAACUGUUUAAUAAAUACAAAUGAAAGAUUGCAGUUUGAAUAGUGACUUAAUGUGAAUAAUGAAUUAGUGAUUAAAAUUGAUAUAAAAGUGC